CGAUAUUAAAAAAUCCUACAAUCUUUUCAUUGGGAAAAAAAAUGAAUUUUAAGUACUAAAUAUAAUACAUCUUCUAGCAUAUUAUCUAGACAAAUCAUUAUCAACUAUUUGGAACCGACAACAUGAGCCAUGUUUCAUCAUUAUGCUCUAUCAAAAAUGCCAUCAAUCGGACUAAAAAACAUCAUAUCUUAUCCCACUACUUCCAGCCAUAUCUUUUGAC
rnacentral:lncRNA from 1 species